CGUUCCCGGGACGCGCAGGGACUUGAGCGGCCCAGGAGAACCGCUUCCAGUGCGGCGCGGCUGCUGGGUCCCCGGAGGAGCGAGCCUUCUCCGCCGCUUUGGAGAGCGGCGGGCUUAGCCCUUAUGGAACGCUUCUAGAAUCCAGAAAGCUCCAUUGUACUCCAUGCAAAACCCAAGCGUCGCCCAAUUGAUUCUAUGCAAAAUGGCAAGGCUCUCGGCGAACGCGCCUUAAAAAAAUAAAAUCCAAUAAAAGAGGAGCCCCUCCCAUCUUCACGCUUGGAGCUCUUUCCAAAAUCCACACAACCGUGUGGUCGGCCUCUGCCACCUCCUCGCUCCACUGUGCGCUGGAGGGAGGUGAGGGGCUUCUGGUUUCCGUGCCCUUCUCCGGAGUUGGGGUGUGUUUUCCCAGUCCAGGCGUUGGAGCCACAGCGUGCGCUCCGCAAACGACCUGGCGUUACAACGGAGCUGAAACUGGGUGGCUAACGGACAGGGCCUGGAGGGAAGAGGCGGGCAAAGGCGCCCCGCCCCUUCUUCCU
rnacentral:lncRNA from 1 species